UACGUAGGCAGCAAGCGUUGUUCGGAGUUACUGGGCGUAAAGGGUGUGUAGGCGGUUCUUUAGGUUUGGUGUGAAAUCUCCCGGCUCAACUGGGAGGGUGCGCCGAAUACUGAGGGACUAGAGUACGGGAGAGGAAAGUGGAAUUCCCGGUGUAGUGGUGAAAUGCGUAGAGAUCGGGAGGAACACCUGUGGCGAAGGCGGCCGACUGGGCCGACCCUGACGCUGAGGCGCGAAGGCGUGGGGGAGCGAACGGG
rnacentral:rRNA from 1 species